rnacentral:rRNA from 1 species
GACGAACGCUGGCGGCGUGCUUAACACAUGCAAGUCGAACGGAAAGGCCUGCUUUCCCUUGUGGAUUGCGGGUACUCGAGUGGCGAACGGGUGAGUAACACGUGAGUGAUCUGCCCCCAACUUGGGUAUAAGCCUGGGAAACUGUGUCUAAUUCCCGAUAGGACUGCAGGGUGGCGCCUGUGGUGGAAAACGAUUUUCUAGUGGUUGGGGAUGAGCUCGCGGCCUAUCAGCUUGUUGGUGGGGUAAUGGCCUACCAAGGCGGCGACGGGUAGCCGGCCUGGGAGGGUGGACGGCCACAUUGGGACUGAGAUACGGCCCAGACUCCUACGGGAGGCAGCAGUGGGGAAUAUUGCACGAUGGGCGGAAGCCUGAUGCAGCGACGCCGCGUGGGGGAUGACGGCCUUCGGGUUGUAAACUCCUUUCGACCGCGAGGAAGCCACCUGGUUGGAAGGGUGGUGACGGUAGUGGUAGAAGAAGCACCGGCUAACUACGUG